UUUACAGGAAAUCAGUUGUCAGUGCUUUCAUUGCCCAGUUCCAUGAUUUCAAUAAAAGGGAACUUGAAAUUAUUUCAAGUGUGAAGUGUUUAAGACAAACUACAUGACUUCCCUCACGACCCUGACUGACAACGUUGGAACCUUGCACGAUCAUGAUUGUCAAUAAUACUUGUGUCCCUGAAAAUGACACGGCCACAUGUGCGGCCCCCAGCUCCCGUUCAGCUCUGGCUGUCGGGCUGAUAUUAUUCUUUCUGCUGCUUUUGAUUGCAGCUGGUGUAAUCUUGUUCAAAUGCCAAAGUAAAAUGAGAAAUAUGUUGCAAUUUGGACAAAGAAGAAGCCAGAAAAAGGAGGACAAUACGGAGACACCACAAGACGAUUCCCAUCAGUACAUCAGUAUCAAUCAGUCAACAGUAGAGACCCCUAUUUAUGAAAACCUGACAACUCGAACUACUAGAUACAACAGGCCUGCAGUAAACAAGAGCAAGUUUCCAGGUGAACCUGAAGAGGAUGUGUACUUGCAGUGUGAUUCACCAGAUGAUGCAAUAUACGGCAAUGAUCCUACAUGUAAUCUCUCCAUCCACCCAGACUCCCAAGAAGAAGAUGUGUAUAUUGUGCCAGAUUCAUAAUAGGACACGUCUCUAUUCAGUGCUCAAACUAUAAAUGUACAUUUAAAGCAAAUAUUUGCUGCUGCUUUUUAAUACAGCUGAGCAGUAAACAAGAAAAAAUACUGUAGUAAAUCCACAAUCAGAAUAGUUAAUACUUAUAUCUUAUUGUAUAGUCUGUAAAAUUAGGAAAGGAAUGAUAUGCAUAAUCUCUAUAUAUUCUGUUACCUGUGAACUUUCAUUGCUACUGCUUUUGAGUUCAUUUAAGAUCUGCAAAUAACCACAUUUUGACAACAAUCCAAGUUAACUAAAUUUUCUGAUAAGAUUUGAUAGUUUUAUGGCUUUCUUUUGAUACGCCUGGAAUUACAGAUUAAUCACCUUUCAUUUUGAGUUAACAAAUAAAUUCUACAAAUGACUUUUUUUAAUAGAUUAAAAAAGUAAAAAGAGGUAUUUGAAAUGUUCCACACUUAUGCACAUAAGUAGGUGGAUGUGUGUAAUUAUAUGAUAUAGUAUUCAUUGUGCUUUAUAUAAUAAUUAUUAUUAUAGAUGUUGAUGUGGAUGUGAAUUAUAGAUGUGGUCCAUAAACUUUUUCUAUUUGCACAUUUUAAAUAUUUAUAUCUCUCAAAGUGUUUCAAAGGUAGCCACCAUUUAAAACAGCUGCGUCCUUGUUCAAUGAUUUCAUUGAAUUAAUUAUGUUGCUUUGUAUGGUAACCAUAACAAAUGUUGUGAGAUGAUGAAGAUGAAACGCAUGUUAACAUAAUAUCAAGAACAAUUUGCAAUUGCAUUUUCAUUUGAACUAUGAUGUUCUCAUGUAAAAGUCUUUAGCUAACAGCCACCUGUAACGUGUCUUAUUAGGUUUAGAAAAAAAUGUGAGAAUACAAUUUACUGACUCACUUUCCAAUAAAUACUGUACAUUCAGA